AAGUUCAUUUCCAUUUAAAUCCUUAUCAGUCAAAAGUGUAAACAAUGUGGCCCAGUAAAUUUCCAUUACCCUGUGGCCUUAACCUUCAUGUGUGAUGUCAAAGCUCACAGGUCACAUCAUGACCUCUCCAAAGCUCAUGCAUUUUGGAGCACAUGCUUGCCAGUGUGUAUUGGACCUCCAUGCUGCCUGGUUGUCACCCAGCUGACUGUAAGCUGAACUAUGUAAAGACACAUAUUUUUCUGAACCUCAUCAGCUCAUCAGCAACUUUACUCUUCAAGUGAACGCAAUAAUAUUCAUCAAAUCCUCAGCAGCAGCCACUUAUUAUGAACUGUAAUUUCUCAAAUAUUAAUACAUUAAACCCUGUUGAUGCGA
rnacentral:lncRNA from 1 species